UGAAUGCUGAGUCUUUUUUUGAAAGAGCCGAGGAACCAACUUUGGGGUGUAUCUUAUGCCUAACAUUGCAUAGUAGGAAACUUUCUAUUCCGAACCCGUCAGCUAACUUGGUAAGCUUUAGAGAGAGU
rnacentral:sRNA from 1 species